rnacentral:tRNA from 1 species
CAAGAGGAUAGUUUAGUUAAAAUACCGGUUUUGGAGUUCGGUGAUUGGGCCGAUUAUAGAGCCCAUCUCUUGA